GAUCCUGGCUCAGGAUGAACGCUAGCUACAGGCUUAACACAUGCAAGUCGAGGGGCAGCAUUGGAGUAGCAAUACUUCAGAUGGCGACCGGCGCACGGGUGAGUAACACGUAUCCAACCUGCCGCUUACUCGGGGAUAGCCUUUCGAAAGAAAGAUUAAUACCCGAUGGUAUAAAGAGUUCGCAUGUUCUCUUUAUUAAAGAAUUUCGGUAAGCGAUGGGGAUGCGUUCCAUUAGAUAGUUGGCGGGGUAACGGCCCACCAAGUCUACGAUGGAUAGGGGUUCUGAGAGGAAGGUCCCCCACAUUGGAACUGAGACACGGUCCAAACUCCUACGGGAGGCAGCAGUGAGGAAUAUUGGUCAAUGGACGAGAGUCUGAACCAGCCAAGUAGCGUGAAGGAUGACUGCCCUAUGGGUUGUAAACUUCUUUUAUAAGGGAAUAAAGUGAGGGACGUGUCCCUUUUUGUAUGUACCUUAUGAAUAAGGAUCGGCUAACUCCGUGCCAGCAGCCGC
rnacentral:rRNA from 1 species